AGCACACAUCCCAGAACCUUCUCAUUUGUGUCAAAUAUACAACAACUGCCUCACAGGAAAAGCAUGUCAUGAUUGACCUCAACAGACCUCAAGACACCCCUCUUGAAGGCAUGGAAUCCUAAGGUAGACAUGAAAUCAUUAUGGUAUAUGAACCUCCUGAAGGGAGCUCGACUCAAGAUUUGGGCCUUGUUACAAUGUCUUCAUGUUCUCUCUGCUGAGAUCCUACAACCUAACCUGCAGCUCGAUUCUUCCCAACUCUUAAGGUGAAGACUGGCUUGUCUUGCUGUGGCGACUUUUACCCCCAAAGAGAAAGCAUGGUGGUAAUAAAGAAGGUCUGACACGCUUUUUAUGAAAGUGCUUCUCUGCUAUGGCUGGGCCUCAGCUCUUAGAUCUCUGCCAGUUUCUUCUUUUGUGGCAUUAAUAACACAGGAAUGCUAAGUACAGAGCAGACGAGGGGUCAGAGGUGUGGAGAGGAGGAGGAAGCCAUAGAUCCGUCAUUAAUGAGCUGUCAAGAGAAUGAAUGAAAACAACAAGGCAGGCGUGACACAUGUGACCAGAGGAGUCAUGCCAGGUCCAGUCGGAUGGCUGCACUUAACUUUCAAGGGCAGAAGAAGAAGAAUCCUCCAUGUGGAUACAAGAACAAGAUACUGAAGCGUCUGAAUAACGUCUACCACAGGAGUGUAGCUGUGCCAACACAUUUGUACCUCCUUCAAGACUGAGGGAUGAUAAAACAUCAACUCUAGAUGGGCUAAGAAUAGUCACUCUACCUUUUCCUUGAAUUCUUUAAUACAGUAGCCACUGUCCACAU